GGGGAACAAGUGUAAACACAGUAUACGCACACCCAAAACCAUUAAUUAAAUCCUCUUCUUGACUCCUUUAUUCACAAUUUUUUUUUUCUCAUUUUUCUGUAUUGUUUUUUCUUUUUUUUUUCAUCUUGUCUCUUUUCUUUUCACUCAAUAUUGGACAUAACUCUAAGAGACAUGAUAAACCAUGUAUUUACAAAAACACAAACAAGAAGAGGAACCAACCUAGC
rnacentral:lncRNA from 1 species